rnacentral:rRNA from 1 species
UACAGAGGUCUCAAGCGUUGUUCGGAUUCAUUGGGCGUAAAGGGUGCGUAGGUGGCGCCGUAAGUCAGGUGUGAAAUUUCGGAGCUUAACUCCGAAACUGCAUUUGAUACUGCGGUGCUUGAGGACUGGAGAGGAGACUGGAAUUUACGGUGUAGCAGUGAAAUGCGUAGAGAUCGUAAGGAAGACCAGUGGCGAAGGCGGGUCUCUGGACAGUUCCUGACGCUGAGGCACGAAGGUCAGGGGAGCAAACAGG